rnacentral:rRNA from 1 species
GACGGGGGGUCCUAGCGUUGUUCGGAAUCAUUGGGCGUAAAGCGUGUGCAGGUGGUUUUGUAAGUUGGAUGUGAAAGCCCCGGGCUUAACCCGGGAAGUGCAUUCAAAACUACAAAACUUGAGUAUGGAAGAGGGUCGUGGAAUUCCAGGUGUAGUGGUGAAAUACGUAGAUAUCUGGAGGAACACCGGCGGCGAAGGCGGCGACCUGGUCCUAUACUGACACUCAUACACGAAAGCGUGGGGAUCAAACAGG